rnacentral:rRNA from 1 species
UUUCGCAAUGCCCGAAAGGGUGACGAAGCGACGCCGCGUGUGGGAAGAAGGCCUUCGGGUUGUAAACCACUGUCGGGAGUUAAGAAAGGUGUACGGGUAAAUAGUCCGUGCAUUUGACAAAAGCUCCGGAGGAAGCCACGGCUAACUUUGUGCCAGCAGCCGCGGUAAUACAGAGGUGGCAAGCGUUGUUCGGAAUUAUUGGGCGUAAAGAGCACGUAGGCGGCCCUGCAAGUCAGCUGUAAAAGCCUCCUGCUUAACGGGAGAAGUGCAGUUGAAACUACGGGGCUAGAGUGCGGAAGGGGAGAGUGGAACUUCUGGUGGAGCGGUGAAAUGCGUAGAUAUCAGAAGGAACGCCGGCGGCGAAAGCGGCUCCCUGGUCCGCAACUGACGCUGAGUGUGCGAAAGCUAGGGGAGCAAACGGGAUUAGAUACCCCGGUAGUCCUAGCCGUAAACGAUGGGCACUAAGUAGAGGGGUUUU